GCCAGGAUGGCUGAGUGGCCUAAGGCGCUAGGCUCAAGUUGCAGCCUCUCGCCUGGAGGCACGUUUUUGAAUCCCGCUUCUGACA